AAGGAUUGUCUGCACAUUACAUUACAUUCCCUUUACAGUUUCUUUAUACUGGAACAUAUAUAAUUCUCUUGUAUACAUGUACAUAAACCAAUAUACAUGUGAUAAUGCUUAAUCAUCUACA